rnacentral:rRNA from 1 species
UACGGAGGGAGCUAGCGUUAUUCGGAAUUACUGGGCGUAAAGCGCACGUAGGCGGGUUGCUAAGUCAGGGGUGAAAUCCUGGAGCUCAACUCCAGAACUGCCUUUGAUACUGGCGGCCUUGAGUCCGGGAGAGGUGAGUGGAACUGCGAGUGUAGAGGUGAAAUUCGUAGAUAUUCGCAAGAACACCAGUGGCGAAGGCGGCUCACUGGCCCGGUACUGACGCUGAGGUGCGAAAGCGUGGGGAGCAAACAGG